AGAACUUUCCAGAGAUGGAUUGGUGCCUUCGGGAACUCUGAGACAGGUGCUGCAUGGCUGUCGUCAGCUCGUGUUGUGAAAUGUUGGGUUAAGUCCCGCAACGAGCGCAACCCUUAUCCUUUGUUGCCAGCGGUUAGGCCGGGAACUCAAAGGAGACUGCCAGUGAUAAACUGGAGGAAGGUGGGGAUGACGUCAAGUCAUCAUGGCCCUUACGAGUAGGGCUACACACGUGCUACAAUGGCGCAUACAAAGAGAAGCGACCUCGCGAGAGCAAGCGGACCUCAUAAAGUGCGUCGUAGUCCGGAUUGGAGUCUGCAACUCGACUCCAUGAAGUCGGAAUCGCUAGUAAUCGUGGAUCAGAAUGCCAUGGUGAAUACGUUCCCGGGCCUUGUACACACCGCCCGUCACACCAUGGGAGUGGGUUGCAAAAGAAGUAGGUAGCUUAACCUUCGGGAGGGCGCUUACCACUUUGUGAUUCAUGACUGGGGUGAAGUCGUAACAAGGUAGGCGUAGUGCU
rnacentral:rRNA from 1 species